AUUGAACGCUAGCGGAAUGCUUUACACAUGCAAGUCGAACGGCAGCGCGGGUCUUCGGACCUGGCGGCGAGUGGCGAACGGGUGAGUAAUGCAUCGGAACGUACCCAGUAGUGGGGGAUA
rnacentral:rRNA from 1 species